rnacentral:rRNA from 1 species
CUACGGGACGCUGCAGUGGGGAAUAUUGCACAAUGGAGGAAACUCUGAUGCAGCAACGCCGCGUGGAGGAUGACACUUUUCGGAGCGUAAACUCCUUUUAUAUAGGAAGAAGAUGACGGUACUAUAUGAAUAAGCGCCGGCUAACUCCGUGCCCGCAGCCGCGGUAAUACGGAGGGCGCAAGCGUUACUCGGAAUCACUGGGCGUAAAGAGCGUGUAGGCGGAUUAAAAAGUCAGAAGUGAAAUCCUAUAGCUUAACUAUAGAACUGCUUCUGAAACUCUUAAUCUAGAAUAUGGGAGAGUAGAUGGAAUUUCUGGUGUAGGGGUAAAAUCCGUAGAGAUCAGAAGGAAUACCGAUUGCGAAGGCGAUCUACUAGAACAUUAUUGACGCUGAGACGCGAAAGCGUGGGGAGCAAACAGGAUUAGAUACCCGGGUAGUC